UCGAGCGGGCGAGGUUGCUUCGGUAACUGAGCUAGCGGCGGACGGGUGAGUAAAGCUUAGGAAUCUGCCUAUUAGUGGGGGACAACAUUUCGAAAGGGAUGCUAAUACCGCAUACGUCCUACGGGAGAAAGCAGGGGACCUUCGGGCCUUGCGCUAAUAGAUGAGCCUAAGUCGGAUUAGCUAGUUGGUGGGGUAAAGGCCUACCAAGGCGACGAUCUGUAGCGGGUCUGAGAGGAUGAUCCGCCACACUGGGACUGAGACACGGCCCAGACUCCUACGGGAGGCAGCAGUGGGGAAUAUUGGACAAUGGGGGGAACCCUGAUCCGGCCAUGCCGCGUGUGUGAAGAAGGCCUUUUGGUUGUAAAGCACUUUAAGCGAGGAGGAGGCUUACCUGGUUAAUACCUGGGCUAAGUGGACGUUACUCGCAGAAUAAGCACCGGCUAACUCUGUG
rnacentral:rRNA from 1 species